rnacentral:rRNA from 1 species
UACGGAGGAUGCAAGCGUUUUCCGGAUUUAUUGGGUUUAAAGGGUGCGUAGGCGGCCUAUUAAGUUAGUGGUGAAAACGUUCGGCUUAACCGGAUACCCGCCAUUGAUACUGAUAGACUUGAGUGCGACAGAGGGUGUUGGAAUGUGUGGUGUAGCGGUGAAAUGCUUAGAUAUCACGCAGAACACCAAUUGCGAAGGCAGAUGCCUAUGUCGUAACUGACGCUGAGGCACGAAAGCGAGGGGAGCAAACAGG